AGUGAACGCUGGCGGUAGGCCUAACACAUGCAAGUCGAACGGCAGCACAGUAAGAGCUUGCUCUUACGGGUGGCGAGUGGCGGACGGGUGAGGAAUACAUCGGAAUCUACUUUUUCGUGGGGGAUAACGUAGGGAAACUUACGCUAAUACCGCAUACGACCUACGGGUGAAAGCAGGGGAUCUUCGGACCUUGCGCGAUUGAAUGAGCCGAUGUCGGAUUAGCUAGUUGGCGGGGUAAAGGCCCACCAAGGCGACGAUCCGUAGCUGGUCUGAGAGGAUGAGGGGACACACGGGAACUGAGAUACGGACAAGAAUCAUGCGGGAGGCAGCGGUGGGGAAUAUUGCACAAUGGGCGGAAGCGUGAGGAAGCAACGCCGCGUGCGGGAUGACGGCCUGCGGGUUGUAAACCGCUUCCGCCUGUGACGAAGCGGGAGUGACGGUAAGGGGUAAAGAAGCACCGGCUAACUACGUG
rnacentral:rRNA from 1 species